AUUGAACGCUGGCGGCAUGCUUUACACAUGCAAGUCGAACGGCAGCGCGGGCUUCGGCCUGGCGGCGAGUGGCGAACGGGUGAGUAAUACAUCGGAACGUGCCCAGUAGUGGGGGAUAGCUCGGCGAAAGCCGGAUUAAUACCGCAUACGACCUGAGGGUGAAAGCGGGGGAUCCUCGGACCUCGCGCUAUUGGAGCGGCCGAUGGCAGAUUAGCUAGUUGGUGGGGUAAAGGCCUACCAAGGCGACGAUCUGUAGCUGGUCUGAGAGGACGACCAGCCACACUGGGACUGAGACACGGCCCAGACUCCUACGGGAGGCAGCAGUGGGGAAUUUUGGACAAUGGGCGAAAGCCUGAUCCAGCAAUGCCGCGUGUGUGAUGAAGGCCUUCGGGUUGUAAAGCACUUUUGGCGGGAACGAAAAGGACUGUGCCAAUACCACGGCUCGAUGACGGUACCCGCAGAAUAAGCACCGGCUAACUACGUG
rnacentral:rRNA from 1 species